AACGAACGCUGGCGGCAUGCCUAACACAUGCAAGUCGAACGAGACCUUCGGGUUUGCUGGCGCACGUGUGCGUGACGCGUUGGAACCUGCCCUUAGGUUUGGCAUAUCUCCCCGAAAAGGGUGCUAAUACCGGUUAAUGUCUUCCGACCAAAGAUUUAUCGCCUUGGGAGGGGCUCGCGGUGGUUUGGCUAUUUGGUAGGGUAAAAGGCUACCGAGGCGACGAUGCAUAGCUGGUCUGAGAGGAUGAUCAGUCACACUGGGACUGAGACACGGCCCGGACAUUUACGGGAGGCAGCAGUGGGGAAUAUGGGACGACGGGCGAGAGCCUGAUGCAGCAAGGCCGCGUAAGUGAUGAAGGGCUGAGGGGGGUAAAGCGCUUAAUACCGGGAGGAUAAUGACAGUACCGGGAGAAUAAGCACCGGCUAACUCCGUG
rnacentral:rRNA from 1 species